rfam:Phlebiopsis gigantea 11061_1 CR5-6 unplaced genomic scaffold PHLGIscaffold_371, whole genome shotgun sequence.
GGCAAGAUGGCCGAGCGGUCUAAGGCGCCGGAUUCAAGCGCCAAGCUUGCUGACGACUUGUCAGCUGAUUCCCGGUCACGAAAGUGGCGCGAGUUCGAAUCUCGCUCUUGUCA